rnacentral:rRNA from 1 species
ACGGGAGGCAGCAGUGGGGAAUAUUGGGCAAUGGGCGAAAGCCUGACCCAGCAACGCCGCGUGAAGGAAGAAGGUCUUCGGAUUGUAAACUUUUUUUAUGGGGGACGAAGGACGUGACGGUACCUCAUGAAUAAGCCACGGCUAACUACGUGCCAGCAGCCGCGGUAAUACGUAGGUGGCAAGCGUUAUCCGGAUUUGCUGGGUGUAAAGGGCGCGUAGGCGGGGAUGCAAGUCAGAUGUGAAAUCUAUGGGCUUAACUCAUAAACUGCGUUUGAAACUGUAUCUCUUGAGUGUCGGAGAGGUAGAUGGAAUUCCUUGUGUAGCGGUGAAAUGCGUAGAUAUAAGGAAGAACACCAGUGGCGAAGGCGAUCUACUGGACGAUAACUGACGCUGAGGCGCGAAAGCGUGGGGAGCAAACAGGAUUAGAUACCCUGGUA